CCGCGUCCCUUUGGGGAGUAGCCUGCAUCCCGCGGUCCCUGGGAUGCGCCCGCAUCAACACACUCGGCCUACAGCCGUGGUGCGGGCAGCCGAAUCCGGUUGGCGAGACCAACGGCC
rnacentral:sRNA from 2 species